rnacentral:rRNA from 1 species
CAGGUAGUUGGUGAGGUAACGGCUCACCAAGCCUACGACGGGUAGCCGGCCUGAGAGGGUGACCGGCCACACUGGGACUGAGACACGGCCCAGACUCCUACGGGAGGCAGCAGUGGGGAAUAUUGCACAAUGGGCGAAAGCCUGAUGCAGCAACGCCGCGUGAGGGACGACGGCCUUCGGGUUGUAAACCUCUUUUAGUAGGGAAGAAGCGAAAGUGACGGUACCUGCAGAAAAAGCACCGGCUAACUACGUGCCAGCAGCCGCGGUAAUACGUAGGGUGCAAGCGUUAUCCGGAAUUAUUGGGCGUAAAGAGCUCGUAGGCGGUUUGUCGCGUCUGCUGUGAAAUCUGGAGGCUCAACCUCCAGCCUGCAGUGGGUACGGGCAGACUAGAGUGCGGUAGGGGAGAUUGGAAUUCCUGGUGUAGCGGUGGAAUGCGCAGAUAUCAGGAGGAACACCGAUGGCGAAGGCAGAUCUCUGGGCCGUAACUGACGCUGAGGAGCGAAAGCGUGGGGAGCGAACAGGAUUAGAUACCCUGGUAGUCCACGCCGU